GGGGUUGUGGCUCAGUGUUAGAGUGCUUGCCUAGCAUGCAUGAGGCACUGGGUUCGAUCCCCGGAACCACA
rnacentral:tRNA from 1 species